CUCGGGAUUACUCCGGUCGUCGGUAGUUCCAGAAGUGAUACCAAGCGUGAGUCGGAAACGGCUAUUACACGGAAACAAUUGUUCGGUUGUGAACAUCGGACGGCGCAGGAAGGCAAUGUACGUCUAAUAACAGAUACUUUUCGAUUUUCCGAGAGAAUCGGCACGACAACGGGGUCAGAAUAUCGUAAUUGCAGAAGAAAAUGAUCACGUAUUCCAACUUCCCCGUUAUAGGAUCUUUAUGGAUUUCGCAAUAGCAGUCGGGGUGGUCGAAGUGCAUAAAAACUAUUGCAAAAUGAUCCUACAGUUUCGACUACCAGUCAACGUAUCUCGAUAAUGUCUAUGAGAUUGUAAGCUAAUGCCACAGAAUUUUGAGAGAAGAAGCACCGAUUCUACACGGCCAGAAGGCGGAGGUAAGCGGAUUCGUCUUAUGUUCUCGUAAUUAAAGAGCGCUCAUAAAGGCGAAUCACAUCGUAAUUCCGACCUCCUCGAUCUAGCCGAAUGAGGUGCAGGUUAACCGAAUGGUCACUUUAGUUACGGCUCUCGGCGUAUAAAGAGCCAAAAUUCAGGUCACUCUGAAGCGUCCUUAUAUAAUAAAAAAUUAUAUUGUCAAAUCUUUCUCACAGAAACACGUGAAAAGUAGAGAAAGAAUAUAGGAUCGCGAAGUAGAGCGAAAAUUGGCGAGGUAUUAUAAUUUCGCGUAUCUUUCUUAGGGAAACAUUUUCAAUGCGUAUAUGAUAAUUUGUGUAAUUCGCGUUUAUACCACUGCAAAUGCAUAAUAUAAAAUUUGAAAUACAAACAUAAUGAACAUGUCCUGUGUGAAAUUAUACCGUCCGUUUUUACGGUAUAAAAACGUAAUGAGUAUUUCAUAUUUCACUAUUCUUUCCUCCGUCGCAUGUAAAAUUUUAUACAGCGUUUUUAUUGGACUCUUUGCUUUGAUAAAUAAACUACUACUUGCGUUGGGCGAGUA